rnacentral:rRNA from 1 species
AUUGAACGCUGGCGGCAGGCCUAACACAUGCAAGUCGAACGAGUGGCGGACGGGUGAGUUAUGUCUGGGCAACUGCCCGAUGGAGGGGGAUAACUACUGGAAACGGUAGCUAAUACCGCAUACCAUCAGAUGUGCCCAGAUGGGAUGAGCUAGUUGGUGGGGUAACGGCUCACCAAGGCGACGAUCCCUAGCUGGUCUGAGAGGAUGACCAGCCACACUGGAACUGAGACACGGUCCAGACUCCGACGGGAGGCAGCAUUGGGGAAUAUUGCACAAUGGGCGAAAGCCUGAUGCGGCCAUGCCGCGUGUAUGAAGAAGGCCUUCGGGUUGUAAAGUACUUUCAGCGGGGAGGCGUGACCCGCAGAAGAAGCACCGGCUAACUCCGUGCCAGCAGCCGCGGUAAUAC